CUUAAUAACUUAAUUCCAGGGCCAUCCCCAUACCCUGUCUGGUAUGCGCGCCCCAAAACCAUAAAUCUCAAUAUCCCGUCUGGUAUGAGGGUGAAGCAGGCUGUCCCCAUACCCUUUUCGGUAUGAGCACUAAAACAUUUAAAGUCUCCAUACCCCAUCUGGUAUGAGAGACAACAUUUUCGAUAGGGUUCCCUAUGGACCGGUCCGUCCACCACCUCUCAGGAUAUCUAGUAAGACUGUUGACUUAUCCAUUUAUCAACUCACAUACAUUUUCUAUUUUUUCUUAGUUUUCUGUUUCUCACAUAAUCAUAAAUAUUUAAACCAGUAACGAGCGUCCAACAAGGCAGACAUAUUAUCGGAUUCACAAAAUCAAACCACAAUGAAGUAAACAGUGAUUCAUGCAUUCAAAAUCAUAAAAUAAAUAGAUCAGAUACCAUAAUGCAUUUAAAACUGUAAAAUAACUAAAACAGUAACUGAUCGAAAAUAUAUCAGAUUCGGACUCCAUUAGCAACCUUAAUUAAUUAUACAUAUCCAUUAAUUCAUAAAGUACCGUUUUAUGAUUUAUUAAGCUUUAAUGUCGUGAUAGAAAAUAGAGUGAGAGAUCCUUACUUGAUUCGGAGUCUAAGACUAGUUUUUUUCACUGCGCCUACGGGCUGUCCCUAGAUUCCCUGAAUUUUUCUCCAGAAACUGAAAUACACUUUUAGUACCUACACGUGUCCCCAAAUAACUCAAAAUCAGACCAGAGCCUAGUCGGCCAAUUUCAGAAUUUUGGCAUGGCAGCUCUCCCGUGCUCCGACGUCGCGGCAGUGAUCCGCGUCGGGUUGGUCGUUUUCUGGCUGUUUUCUACCAAAUUCGUCCAAACUUGCAUUGGUUUCUGUGAUAAAACACACGUAGGGCCCUCGGUGGGCCAAAAAAUACAGAAAACUGAGACUGACCGGCUGCGGAGCUCUCGGGUGCAGCGGCUCCUUCGGCUCGAGUCGCGGUUUAGUGUUUUGCUCCUAUCAACCUGUAGAGGAAAGGACGAUGGUCACAGUGGUGAAAAAAUUAUAUCGAAUGGGAAUCGGGAAGGGCCUCAUCGGAGGCAAAAAUCGAAGAAACCCGAGGCGGUGGCGCUGGGCUUCGGCGACAUUUUUCGACCAAUUGGCCGGUGGUUUAGCUUCGAUUUGGCCACAGGUGGGUUAAGAAUCGAAGUCCGAGCCAAAGAAAAAAAUUUUACCUCGUUUGGUGGCUGGAAAGUGCUUCAGUGCAGCGGUGGGUGGCGGCGGUGGGUUCCUCCGGUGGCUGAGCUGUCUUUUUCGGCGAGGGCUCUGGCGGCUAGGGUUUGGGUUUGGGUGUGGAUGAAAUUAUUUAUAACCUUCUGCUUUUAAUCUGAGCCGUCUAUCGCGAUUUAAUCUGAACCGUCCGAUCGCGAUUAAAUUAAAAAUGAAUCUAGGCCGUCCAUCGCAAUGCGAUCUAGGCCGUCCGUGCGUGAUUCAAUCUGGGUCGUCCGCACGUGUGCAAUCUGGGCUGUCCGCACGUGCUUUUGAUCUGGGUCGUCCGUGCGCGCAGUAACAGAUCUCAACCGUCCGAUCGCGUGCACGCGGAUCGCCCAUGUAGCCCUGUUCCGUGUGGCCUCCCGCGUCAGCAUUUCUGCCACGCGGCGUGUCCUGGUUGGCCGGGGCUGCUGACGCGUAGCAAUUUUUUUAAAUUGCGUUUUAAUCCCCAAUUUUUGAUUUUCUUUUCAAAAAUACCCCUAAAAUCCGAAUUUUCACCCCUCUUUCCCAAAAUUAUUUUCAAUUAAAUCCUAAAAAUAAUUUUACCCAUUUUUAUGAUUAUUAUUAUUUUUAUUUCCAUUUAAUUAAAUUAAACUAAAUUAAAACUAUAUAUUAUUAAAUAAAUAAUUAUUUAAUUCAUAUAAAUUUACAAAAAAAAAAAUUAAAUUAAAACAAAUUAAUAUUCAUAAAAAAAUAAUAAUAAAUUUUUGGGGUGUUACAGUAACGGUCCCGGAAAUUCAAAAAAAAAUACAUAUAAUAAUCUGAGUGCGGAAGCGAAAUAAAAGAUUAAAGUUAACAUCCCUUACAUAAUAACUUAAAAGUACUAAACAAUAUCACAGAAUAAGUUCUCUAAAGAAAAUACGAGAAAUAAAAAAAUUAAAAGAAACUCGAAAGUAUCUAGUAUCUACUCGUUGUUUUCUUGUGGAUCGGGCUCGAGAACCAGGUCCUCAUGAUCUGAAAUGGUUAAAUAAGAAAUGAGCUACACUAGCCCAAUAAGGACAUCACAUUAUAUCACCGUCACAUAAGCAAAUGUUGGUAGAAAACCAAAAACAACCAAUGGAGCACAAAUUUUAAACAAAUUCAUUUAUCAAUAAUCAAAUCAUUUACCGUCCACUUACUGCAGUAAGAUUUAUAAAAACAACCUAUGGAAACAAUAACAUUAUAAAUAUCAUGAAUUGAUAUAUAAUCUGUAACAUAGCACAUAUCAUACUUUUAUAUUCAAAUCAUCAAACAACAAUUGCCCUUUUUUUUUAUAUCAACCUUCUAGUAUCCAUGGGGAUCCAUAGGGGUCCUUACUACAAGUGAACUAUUCCCUUUAAAUAAUUUUAAUUCCAUAGCGAUUCCCAUACCCUGUCCGGUGUGAGUGCCAAAAUAAUAAACCUCAAUACCCCGUCUGGUAUGAGGGUGAAGUGGGCCAUCCUCAUACCCCGUCUGGUAUGAGCGCCAAAUGACCAAGUUUCCAUACCCCGUCCGGUAUGAGACAACGUUCACGGUAGGGUUCCCUAUGAAUCUGGUCCAUCCACCAUCUCCUAAGAUAUCUAGUGAGGCUGUCAUCUUAUCCAUUUAUCAAAUCACAUUCCAUUCCUAUUUCUCCUUAGUCUUCGUUACCAACUCAAACAUAAAUAUAUAAACAAGUAACUUGAUUUGACGCUGAAAACUAGAUUAUCACUGCGCCUACGGGCGGAUCCUGGGUUCCCUGAAUUUUUUUCUUGGGAAUUGAAACGCGCUUAUGGUAUCUACACAUAUCCCAAAUAACCUAAAAAUAAGACCCAGGGUCUACUCGGUCAAUUUUAGAAUCCCGCUGUGCUCUAGCAGCGAUCCACAUCAGGUUGGCUGUUUU
rnacentral:lncRNA from 1 species